rnacentral:miRNA from 4 species
UGUGAGGUUGGCAUUGUUGUCU